ensembl:lncRNA
UCUCACUCGCUGAUCAAUUUUGAUCUAAAAUUCCUCACAAUGACAGAAGACCAAAGAGUUGUUUUAUGAUCUGCAACAGCAAAAUUUGGCCUAAAAUGGUACAGUAAUGCGAUGUAUAAAAAGACUAAAAUAACAUUACACUGAUCAAUCAAUCAUACAACAAUCAAAGGGAGACAUCGACAUUGAAUCCCAUACCCUACCUGUAUAGGCAACAUAUCAUAUAUACAUCUACUCACAAUUAAAGGAGCAACUGUGUAUAUUAUCCACUGUGACUAAAAUAAGCUGAGUGCAAGACUACAGGGACAUUAUCUGUCAUCUCCACUUCGGCAGAUUGCUCAAGUGUUAAUGCACCUGGGGUCCCACUCCAGUGCGCCAUCUCAAUCAGGCCUUAAUGCUCCUCUACAAAGGCCAGCGGCAUUUAGACCUCACGACACACGCACGCCGGAGACGACACGCCUUCUCACGGCCCGAGAGACACUUCAUACUUCCUGCUUUUGUCCGCAGAGGACGGCAGAUCAAACCACUGCAUUAUUCUCAACGUAGACGUGAGCUGCCAAUCUGAGCCAAGGGACAGAGCUGUAACGCUGCAGAGACACCGUGUGUUCUGGAGAUUGGGACGAAAACAACAAAAAGGAUGUUAAGUUUAAACAUUUGGCUCAACAGCAGGUCCCCAUGGAGCAGAACUCUGGAGAGAAAGAGAGAAAGUGCGCUUCGGUUCAAAGGGCCACGCCACAUCCAGCGAGCAUCAACCUCUGAAUAUUGACAUGCUAAUGAUGUGCAACUCAGGCAACAAAAGCCCCAGUGCUCCGACUGCACGCAGCCACAAUGGCCCUUAGCCUGAGCCCUGACACUUUUAUAACCCGACAUGUGUCGCUUGUUUCACAUUCACACAAUGAGAAGAUCCCUCGUGGAAUCUGCGCACUCUCCGAGCCCGGCGUUUCCUUUUUCUUUGUCUGUCACAGCCCCGUAUUUCACCCGGUCUCUAGUGACCUCGAGGCGAGCUUCACUUGGAGUGUUUUGUCAGGCUUUGUUUCAACAAAAGUGCCAUGCUGGCUCUUCGACACAACAACAUCUCAGACACAGUGGGGGGAAGCGGGGGGGGGGGGUCAAAGGUCAAACCAUUUAGGAGGAGAUAACCCUUGGCUGCUGGAGGCUGAUGCAGGGGAUGCUGACCUGUCCGGGACGCGUCUGGCUCCUAGGUGGUCUCUGGACCGAAGACAAAAAUCACUGAACUUUUUGGAAAUAUCUUUAUUUUAUAAACCAAAAUAGAGUUUGAAUUACAUUUCGGAUUAUUCCGCUGACCUAAAGAU